rnacentral:rRNA from 1 species
CACGCCGUAAACGAUGAAUGCUAGGUGUUGGGGAAACUCAGUGCCGCAGUUAACACAAUAAGCAUUCCGCCUGGGGAGUACGACCGCAAGGUUGAAACUCAAAGGAAUUGACGGGGACCCGCACAAGCAGCGGAGCAUGUGGUUUAAUUCGAAGCAACGCGAAGAACCUUACCAGGUCUUGACAUCCUCUGACGAGCCUAGAGAUAGGAAGUUUCCUUCGGGAACAGAGAGACAGGUGG